rnacentral:lncRNA from 10 species
GACGGAUCAGUCUGUUCAGGUCAGCUGAGAAAGGAAAGAGCUCAGUGUUCAGAGGUUCAGAGAAGUGACAGGACUGGCGAGGACAGAGGGCGGAGACAGGCAGACCCUGGACAUGUUUCUGUGCCCGCUGGCCUUCCUUGGCUUCAUCUAACUAACAAGAAGCCCUCUGCAGAGCCUGCUACGUGGGGCCCGGUGGCACAUGGAAGAGAUGGGCUUUCAGGGGCAGUCAUUUGGCCCACUCAGAUGAGCCCCACUAGCAGGUCUCGAGUGCUGUCCUCUCCACCAAGAUCACAGGAGUCGAUGGUGAGCACCCACUUCCCCAGCCCCAUCUCCUGCCUGUCCUGUAGGGCAACUGUCCAAAGACAGGGCUGUGGACCAUGCCUGGGUGUUCACCCAUCGUACUCCAUCUCAUGUCUACCCGUAGUAGUCAUUACCUGCCCUCAAACAUUCCGCCUGAGGCUGCCAGUUCUUGUAGGAAGUGGCCCCGGUGCCAGGCCAACAGCUUUCCUAGGCUUCAGAACACCGAGAUGAUUUCGGGCCAUCACUGAUCUUCACCCACCAGAGAAGUUUUUCACCAGGGGCUUUUCCUGACGUCAAAGUAACAGCCAGGUUAAGGGAACCCCUGGCCUGGGGGUGUCCCCCUGCCCACCCCCUGCAGCCCACAGCCCACCUGUCCUGCCUGCUGACAGGUCUCCUCCCACUCCUCCCGGCCUUGUUUGCACUGGAAAGUUGGGGUGCAUCGGCUGUGCACCUGAAUGUGUUAUUUGCUUCUGCUUAAAGAUCAUAAAGUCAGUAAAUUGUUUAAAAUAUAACUCAUUUGAGGGUCUAGCUCCUGCAAAGUCUGUUUGUCUUCUUUCAAAGCAUGCCUUAACUCAGCCCCUUCCUUUAUAAAACAGUCCAGCUCCAUAGAAAUUUUAAACAAACUGUCUCUCUCCUCUGGGCUUGGACUCAGCCCCCUCCCGGUCACAGGCCUGCCUGGAAGAAGCAGGUUGGGCCCUCUCAGCCGCUUCUGUUUAUAUCUGGGCCCAUUAUCAUGAAGGGCACUUUUAUUUGAGGAGUUGAGUAUUACAUUAGCAUUAUAAAACAAAUUGUUUUUCCAUUGCUUGAGAGCCAGGGAGAAUAAACCUGGACGGGCCAUGGCCUCCUAUUUAAAUAAACUAACGUCAUCCUGGGUACCAAGGAGCCUGAUUCGCCCCCCUGUUCCCCGCUUGGGCCGAGUUGUCCUCCCGGCCGCCUCUUUGGUCCCCUGGCCUCUGGGGCUCAGUGGGCUGUUCCCAGGGAAGCCUUCACCCUCUCUCCACCAGGGCUGUACAGUGACCCCGAGUCCAAUGGCAGAAAGGAUGGGGCUCAUCACAGGGCCCAGGACCCCAAAGGUUACAAAGCACCCACCCCUCCCCAUCUGACCCUCACCACCCCCAGCCGCACGCUUGGGCCUCCCUCCUCCUGUGCCUCCGGGACCGUCUCCCCACCUGCGGGAGGCCAGGUGUGUGGCUCCAGAGACCCUCCACCUGAACUACCCGCUCCCAGAGCCCCAGUCAGGGCCGCCAGAGGUCGCGGAGGGUGAAGCCAAUGGGCCUGGACGCCGAGGCCGGGGAGAGGAAGGAGCGAGGGUCUCGGUGUGACCAACUAAGCAGACACUCAGCGGCAGCGCCGCGCUUGGGGAGACUGCAGGGCAGAAAUGGGCCUAGAGGUGAAGGAGCCCUUCCCAAAUCGGACAGUCCCGGGGCUGGAGAGCCGGGAGCAACCCAGUUCCCUGAAGAAAUGAUUGCAGCUGCUCAGGCAAAACACGGUCUCCAGCACUGGGAAGGCGACAGCGGCGACAGUGCACCGUCCCCCUUGCACGCACUGAGGAGCCUGUCUUGGAGCUGAGACCUCCUCGCCCCCUCCGAGCUUACUGAGCACCCGGCCGGCAGCCCCCCGACUCCCCAGGAUGCUGCCUUGACCCCACCUAAUCUGGUCACUCACCUCCUAACCUUUCAGGGUCCAAGAGGACCCGCGUCCUGCCCCACCUUGCUGGGUGCAGAGCCGGGUGCACGCGGGACCCGCACUCGCUCUGGGCGAACACGCAGCGCCCUUCCCGGCCUCAGGCCGAGCCGGACCGCAACGCCGCUAUUAGUAAGGACUAAAAACAAAAGUUCUCCCCGAAGCCCACCUUUCCCCAGUAAGAAGGUGUCAAGGGUUAAACCGUUCGAUUUGCCCUUUUUCUUGAUCUUAGAGGGAAGAGGCAAGAACUCCUGGCACCUUUAUGGGCCUCAGACCUGUGGCUGCUGCCAGCAGUCUCAGUCCCACUAACUUUGAUCAGCCUUAUUAAUUCCAGCUGUGCUCUAUUUGUUUGUCAUUUUCCCCUUUUCCUCUGGAAUCAUUAUUUAUAGCAGGAAAAAAAAAAGCCCACUGUUAGAAUGGAGGCAAGGAGGGAAUUUCUGAGAACGACUGGGUGAAUGUAUUUUUCCUUAAAGGUCACCAAAAAGGAGGAGAGGUGUAGGGGUGAGUCUUGACUCUUAUGAGCUCUUCUUUGAAUUUAUUACUCAAGAGCAUUAACUAAUUACCAGAUCAGAUAAAUGAAAAAAAAAUUCCCUAAAAUAACCCAAGGUAAUUAUAACCGUGCUGUUGACACUAACGAUUAAUAAUUGAUCAGGAGUCACACACAAUAAAUUGUCAAUUUAUCUCCCCACAAAAAUGCGAGUGCUUGUGUAGCAUUGUGUUUUGUUUCUUCCCUCUGGGUAUUUUCUGUGAAUAUCGAGUCCGUAUUGGAGGCAGCCCCAAACCUCAUAGUCAAUUCUUUAAGAAUAUUACAUUUCAUUUAUUUACAGCUCCAUAUAGAACAAAGUAACAUUAGAACACCUUUUAAAAAUACUUUUAUUAUCAUGGGGCCAGAGUUAAACAAACAAAAAAAAUUCUUCCUCUUUCCUUUUAUCUGGGAUUGCGCAAAUACGGACAACAGAUAUUUCCUUUCUUCAUUGUAUUAGCAAUACAGUCCUCUUAAAUUGUGUCUUCAAUUAUUAUCUUUCUUAGAAAGAGAGAGAACACUCUGCCUUCACGGUAGGAAACACAAGACUAUUCUCUGUUCCAAGGGUGGAGGGGACAGAGGUGCCGGUUGAGGCCACAUCCAUCUGUUUCUAGGGAUGCAGCUGAAGGGAGAGGCUGAUGCAUACAAGUGGGGUGUCUGCUUCCUAAAACUGGGGCUCAAAGUGUUUUCUCUUCCACCCAUCAAUGGCUGAGGUCCAAGUGCAUAUUGUUGAAAACCAGAUUCGUAGCAUUCUAGCCCAAGCAAAGGGGAGGGCUAGUGAGUGCUUUCAUUAUGGCCAAUAGAUAGUAAUUUUCAGCAACUGGAAAAUUAUAUUGUCAUAGAUUACUUCUCCUUAUAAUUAGCCUUUAAAAUAUCUGUAGGGAUUUGUCACUUGCAUAAAGGUUUGAAAAUACAUCAAAGGGACAUGUCCCCCUUGCGAUUUGUAGAAAUUCAAAUGAUGUUAAUCAUAAUAUCCACAUAGCACAGACGGUUGUGUAUUGUUCCCAAGAUAGCCUCUUCGGUUAACGCUUUCAAAAAAAUAGUUAAAAUGUUAUGUUUGUAAAAGCAGUUUAAAACAUAUUUAUUAUAUCUAUUUAUAUUUUAAUUUUGAGUCUAAAUGAAUGUUUUCCUUGGGAUUCUCAAGGUACUGGGCAACUAAAGAAAAAUUAUAUAGUGAUAAUUAUUGUAUAUUGUUACUUGGAUGAAACUUUCUCAUAAUUCACUUCAGAGUGUUAUUGAAAUUUGAAAAUGCCUCUGAGUGGACCACAAAUUUGUUUGGAACAAUUUUUUUUUCCAAAUUGAUGUCUGUUUAAUUAGGCUGUAACAGUGGUAGUUUAGUAUGUACAUUCACUCCGUAGUUAAAAAACAAAGGGUCCACUUUACUUUUAGCCUCCUUGAUAUGUACUUAAAUGCAAUUGUAAAUGAUCCGAAAACGCGCACGGGCUUCGGAGGUGGCUAUUUCAUCUUUGUGUUUCUUCGCAGUGGUUCUCGCCUCCCAGAAUCCGCAGAGAUCUAAUAAACACAUAAGUUAAAGAGAGCCUCAGGGGAACCCCGAGCCCUCUCCCACCACUCUCCCAACUCCAGAAUGAGAUCCGCGGCGGCCCGGCGAGGGGGUUCUGGGGAGGCGCACCCCAGGCUGGCUACCCUGAGCCCAGGCCCAAGGCUGCCCCUCUAGGCCCCAGCACCCAGCCCCCUUCCUCUCUCCGCUCCCCGCCCCUCCUUCCUCGCAUCAGACAAAGGUGGAUGAAGUUCUUUUCAAGUUUCAAAGGCAGUUGCUGGGCAGCUUUGCAGAAACAAUAACUCUUUUAUUGGGAACAAAUGUUGACAUUUGACGGGCGCGGGAGGCAGCGCCCGCGCCGGCCGCCGGGCAAGCGCCCCGGUGCUCUCGGCAGCCCCCGGCCCCCGGGGCCCACCUGAGAUUAAAGCGCGAAUUCCGAUAAAUCAGCUCUAAGGAAACCCUGGGCCGCGGAGAGCAGAAGGGCUGUCGCGGAUCCACCACGCGGGCGCCGGGCCGCGGAGCCGGGAGCGCGCCCAGGCCUGCACCCGCAGCAAAGCCAAGGCCACCGCCCCAAAGCCCAUCUGCUCCUGGUCGCCCCGUUUUGCCGACGUCUCCCCGGCCUCAGUCAACAACAGCAAACUUCUAUCUUGGAGGGCUAGCAAUUGUGACACCUACCUGUGGACCAAGGAAAAAACCAAAUCAUCCCCAAUCUUUCAGUUCCACAACAA